CACUGAAACAUUUAUUUUGCUACUUGGUUUUGAAAUUGUCCGUUCCACCUUAAAUAGGCUCUGGGUAUUAUUUUUAGCUGUAACACUGAAACAUUUAUUUUGCUACUUGGUUUUGAAAUUGUCCGUUCCACCUUAAAUAGGCUCUGGGUAUUAUUUUUAGCUGUAACACUGAAACAUUUAUUUUGCUACUUGGUUUUGAAGUUGUCCGUUCCACCUUAAAUAGGCUCUGGGCAUUAGUUUUAGCUGUAACGCUGAACCAGUUAUUUUGCUACUUGGAUUUGGAAUUGUCCGUUCCAUCUUAAAUAAGGGGUUUUGCUGUAAGACUGAAUUUAACUCCUCAUUUUGCUAUCUGGUUUAGGAUUUGUGCUUUCCACCUUAAUAGGCUCUGGGUUUUAGUUUCUGCUUUCAGACUGAAUUUAACUCCUUAUUUUGCUACUUGUUUUUGUAAUUUGUCCGUUCCACCUUUAAUAAUGGCUGUGUUUUUAGACUGAAUUAAACUUAUUUUGCUAAUUGGUUUUGAAAUUGUCGGCUCCACCUUAAAUAGGGUCUGGGUAUUAAUUGCCGAACUAAUUAUUUUGCUAUUUGAUUUUAGAAUCGUCCGUUCCACCUUAAAUAGGGUCUGGGUAUUAGUUUCUGCUGUAAGACUAAACUGAACUCCUGAGGCGCCAGACUGUAACUACUGCACUCUUUAAGGUGGAAUGGACAAUUCAAAAACCAAGCAAGCUUAAGGGUGUUUUUUGUAGAAUUUGUAUUUAUGCUCUUCAGUCUUACCCAAAAGUGCAGUAAAAUGUGUGUGUGUGUGUGUGUGUGUGUGUGUGUAUGUAUGUGUGUGUGUUUGUGUGUUUUAGGGUGUCGAAUGGAGGACAUACACACCCACAGAGGAGGAGAAUAAGAUCUUCCGGGAGUGCGGUUCAGAGAGCUUCUUUAGUAGAUCUUUGCCCAUGGCAUUAUUAGGCCUGAUUAUCAUACCGAUCAUCUUCCCCAAAGGAUCCCGGUUUGCAUCCUCACGAGUUGGAUUAGUGCCAGAAAUAAUGCUUUUUGGUGCAGUGAGCUACAUUGUGGGACAGUACUCCUACUUGAAUGCCUGUAAGGAGAAGUUUAUGAAUUUGAGGGAUUCACCGAUUGGAAAAUCUUUAAGGCAGCCGCAUACGUGAGUACACACACACACACACACACACACACACACACACAUACAGCAUAACAUUAUUGUACAGUUUAUGCAUCUUAGAAGAACUCAAAAAAGUAGUGGUGUCAAUUGAUUAAAAAAACUUCAGAUUAAUCACAACACUAUUCUGUUAUUAACUGAGAUUAAUCACUCUUGUUCUUUUAAAGACGCGAGUUUUUAACGUUUUUAUAGCCAAUAAAAAAAAUAGUGUUUACUUGUACA
rnacentral:lncRNA from 1 species